AGGUUGUUAAGUUAUCUUGUUGACACUGAUUUAAUCGACACGCUUGCUUCAGAGGGAAGAGGACAGAUAGCAGCAGCAGACAUCUGAGCAGCAAGCAGCCGAGUGCUCAUCCUGGUCCUCGGGUGCCAUGGAGUCCCCUGUUGUCCACUCGUGUGGGCCUUUGGUUCCCAUCCCACACUGAGGAAACCUCGUAUCAAGACAUUUCCUCCCCGAGAUUAUCCAUGUGAUGACCAGGCCAGGAUUUGAACCCGAUACACGGCAGAUUCCCCUGAGGUUUAAGAAGUGCAGAUCCGGUCGCGCCGAAGACUCCGAAUCACCCCGCUGCAGACAGGCAGGUCUGCCCACACUCUACCAAGGUCCCCAGUCCCGCGGAACACACGCCGAAUCAGCCCGCUGCAGACAGGCAGGUCUGCCCACACCCUGCCGAGGUCCCCAGUCCCGCGGAACACACGCCGAAUCAGCCCGCUGCAGACAGGCAGGUCUGUGCACAUCCUACCAAGGUCCUGAGUCGCGCGGAAGAUGCCGAAUCACUCCUCUGGAGACAAGCAGAUCUGCCCAUGCCCUACCGAGGUCCUGAGUCGCACAGAACACGCGGAAUCGGCCCUCUGCAGACAGGCCGGUCUGUGCACGCCCUACCAAGGUCCUGAGUCGCGCGA
rnacentral:lncRNA from 1 species